CAAGACGUAGCUUUAAACGUGAAAGCGCUCAGCUUACACCUGAGAGAUAUCUGCCCACUAUCAGAUCGUCUUGA
rnacentral:tRNA from 1 species